CUUAGUGGCGGACGGGUGAGUAACGCGUGGGUAACCUGCCUCACACAGGGGGAUGACAGUUAGAAAUGACUGCUAAUACCGCAUAAGACCACAGCACCGCAUGGUGCAGGGGUAAAAACUCCGGUGGUAUGAGAUGGACCCGCGUCUGAUUAGUUAGUUGGUGGGGUAACGGCCUACCAAGGCGACGAUCAGUAGCCGACCUGAGAGGGUGACCGGCCACAUUGGGACUGAGACACGGCCCAAACUCCUACGGGAGGCAGCAUG
rnacentral:rRNA from 1 species